UACAGAGGUCUCAAGCGUUGUUCGGAUUCAUUGGGCGUAAAGGGUGUGUAGGUGGCGCGCUAAGUCGGGUGUGAAAUUUCGGAGCUUAACUCCGAAACUGCAUUCGAUACUGGCGUGCUUGAGGACUGGAGAGGAGACUGGAAUUCAUGGUGUAGCAGUGAAAUGCGUAGAGAUCAUGAGGAAGACCAGUGGCGAAGGCGGGUCUCUGGACAGUUCCUGACACUGAGGAGCGAAAGCGUGGGGAGCGAACAGG
rnacentral:rRNA from 1 species